GACGAACGCUGGCGGCGUGCUUAACACAUGCAAGUCGAGCGGUAAGGCCCUUUCGGGGGUACGACGAGCGGCGAACGGGUGAGUAACACGUGGGUGACCUGCCCUCAGCUCUGGGAUAAGCCCGGGAAACUGGGUCUAAUACCGGAUAUGACUCCACGGUGCAUGUCGUGGGGUGGAAAGCCUUGUGCGGCUGAGGAUGGGCCCGCGGCCUAUCAGCUUGUUGGUGGGGUGAUGGCCACCAAGGCGACGACGGGUAGCCGGCCUGAGAGGGCGACCGGCCACACUGGGAC
rnacentral:rRNA from 1 species